rnacentral:rRNA from 1 species
UACGAAGGGGGCUAGCGUUGCUCGGAAUCACUGGGCGUAAAGCGCACGUAGGCGGCUUCUUAAGUCAGGGGUGAAAUCCUGGAGCUCAACUCCAGAACUGCCUUUGAUACUGAGGAGCUUGAGUCCGGGAGAGGUGAGUGGAACUCCGAGUGUAGAGGUGAAAUUCGUAGAUAUUCGGAAGAACACCAGUGGCGAAGGCGGCUCACUGGUCCGGUACUGACGCUGAGGUGCGAAAGCGUGGGGAGCAAACAGG